AGAAUCAACGCUGGCGGCGUGCCUAACACAUGCAAGUCGAACGAGAAAGUGGAGCAAUCCAUGAGUACAGUGGCGCACGGGUGAGUAACACGUGACUAACCUACCCUGGAGUGGGGGAUAACUGAGGGAAACCUUAGCUAAUACCGCAUAAUACCUACGGGUCAAAGGAGCAAUUCGCUUUGGGAGGGGGUCGCGGCCGAUUAGUUAGUUGGCGGGGUAAUGGCCCACCAAGACAGUGAUCGGUAUCCGGCCUGAGAGGGCGCACGGACACACUGGAACUGAAACACGGUCCAGACUCCUACGGGAGGCAGCAGUGGGGAAUUUUGCGCAAUGGGGGAAACCCUGACGCAGCAACGCCGCGUGGAGGAUGAAGUCCUUCGGGACGUAACUCCUUUCGAUCGGGACGAUAAUGACGGUACCGGAAGAAGAAGCCCCGGCUAACUUCGCGCCAGCAGCCGC
rnacentral:rRNA from 1 species